rnacentral:rRNA from 1 species
UAUACAGCGAAACUGCGAAUGGCUCAUUAUAUAAGUUAUCGUUUAUUUGAUAGUGCCUUACUACUUGGAUAACCGUGGUAAUUCUAGAGCUAAUACAUGCUAAAAACCCCGACUUCGGAAGGGGUGUAUUUAUUAGAUACAAAACCAAUGCCCUUCGGGGCUCUUUGGUGAUUCAUGAUAACUAUACGAAUCGCACGGCCUUGCGCCGGCGAUGGUUCAUUCAAAUUUCUUCCCUAUCAACUUUCGAUGUUUGGGUAUUGGCCAAACAUGGUUGCAACGGGUAACGGAGGGUUAGGGCUCGACCCCGGAGAAGGAGCCUGAGAAACGGCUACUACAUCCAAGGAAGGCAGCAGGCGCGCAAAUUACCCAAUCCCGACUCGGGGAGGUAGUGACAAUAAAUACUGAUACAGGGCCCUUUCGGGCCUUGUAAUUGGUAUGUGUACACUCUCACCCCCCUUAACGAGGAACAAUUGGAGGGCAAGUCUGGUGCCAGCAGCCGCGGUAAUUCCAGCUCCAAUAGCGUAUA